GAUGAACGCUGGCGGCGUGCUUAACACAUGCAAGUUGAACGAAGCUCAUAGAACCUAUUCCUUCGGGGAGAAGUUUUAUGAGACUUAGUGGCGAACGGGUGAGUAACACGUGAGCAACCAACCCCUGACAGUGGAAUAACAACGGGAAACCGUUGCUAAUACCGCAUAAUAUCCUUUUACGGCAUCGUAAAGGGAUCAAAGAUUUAUCGGUCAGGGACGGGCUCGCGUCCGAUUAGGUAGUAGGUAAGGUAACGGCUUACCUAGCCUGCGAUCGGUAGCCGGACUGAGAGGUCGAUCGGCCACAUUGGGACUGAGACACGGCCCAGACUCCUACGGGAGGCAGCAGUGGGGAAUAUUGGGCAAUGGGGGCAACCCUGACCCAGCGACGCCGCGUGAAGGACGAAGCAUUCGUGUUGUAAACUUCUUUGGAGAGGGACGAAGAUGACGGUACCUCUCGAACAAGCCACGGCUAACUACGUGCCAGCAGCCCGCGGUAAUACGUAAGGGCCAAGCGUUAUCCGGAAUUACUGGGUGUAAAGGGCGCGCAGGCGGCCCUGCAAGUCGGAUGUGAA
rnacentral:rRNA from 1 species